rnacentral:rRNA from 1 species
UACGGAGGAUGCGAGCGUUAUCCGGAUUUAUUGGGUUUAAAGGGUGCGUAGGCGGCCGAGUAAGUCAGCGGUGAAAUUUUGCAGCUUAACUGUAACAGUGCCGUUGAUACUGCAUGGCUAGGAUUUGGUUGCUGUGGGUGGAAUGUGUGGUGUAGCGGUGAAAUGCUUAGAUAUCACACAGAAUAUCAAUUGCGAAGGCAGCUCACAAAGCCAAGAUUGACGCUGAGGCACGAAAGCGUGGGGAGCAAA